rnacentral:misc_RNA from 1 species
GAUGAAGAACGCAGCGGAAUGCGAUAAGUAAUGUGAAUUGCAGAAUUCAGUGAAUCAUCGAAUCUUUGAACGCACAUUGCGCCCCUUGGUAUUCCGAGGGGCAUGCCUGUUCGAGCGUCAUUAUAACCCCUCAAGCUCAGCUUGGUGUUGGGGCCUGCUGCACUGGCAGCCCUUAAAAUCAGUGGCGGCGCCAUCUGGCUCUAAGCGUAGUAAUUCUUCUCGCUAUGGAGUCCUGGUGGAUGCUUGCCAUCAACCCCCAAUUUUUCUAUGGUUGACCUCGGAUCAGGUAGGGAUACCCGCUGAACUUAAGCAUAUCAAUAAGCGGGGGA